AAACAGUGGGGAAAACGAUAACAUUGGACGAAGAAAUGCUCCAAAGAUUUCGCUUGUUUGAAGAAUAUUUGCGGAAAAAUGGUGAGGUUCCACCCAGCGAACAACAAGCUCCACGUACCCAAGCUCCAUCUAUUGAGCAUCAGGAGAAAACGGAUCGACCCAUGCACCAGGCGUCGACUCAGCCUCCAUUUUUAAAAGAUGUGAGAUGCUUUAUUUGUGGGCAGCUUGGCCACAAAAA